GAUGAACGCUGACAGAAUGCUUAACACAUGCAAGUCUACCAAGAAUCACUUCGGUGAGGAAUGGUGGCGGACGGGUGAGUAACGCGUAAAUAAUCUGCCCUUUAGACUGGGAUAUCCUUUGGAAACGAAGGUUAAUACCGGAUAUUAUGAGAUGGACGCAUGUUCAACUUAUGAAAGCUAAAUGCACUAGAGGAGGAGUUUGCGUCCCAUUAGCUAGUUGGUGAGGUAAAGGCUCACCAAGGCCAUGAUGGGUAGCCGGCCUGAGAGGGUGAACGGCCACAAGGGAACUGAGACACGGUCCUUACUCCUACGGGAGGCAGCAGUGGGGAAUAUUGGACAAUGGACCAAAAGUCUGAUCCAGCAAUUCUGUGUGCACGAUGAAGGUCUUCGGAUUGUAAAGUGCUUUCAGUAGGGGAGAAAAAAAUGACGGUACCUACAGAAGAAGCGACGGCUAAAUAUGUGCCAGCAGCCGCGGUAACAC
rnacentral:rRNA from 1 species